GAUGAACGCUGGCGGCGUGCCUAAUACAUGCAAGUCGAGCGAACGGACGAGAAGCUUGCUUCUCUGAUGUUAGCGGCGGACGGGUGAGUAACACGUGGAUAACCUACCUAUAAGACUGGGAUAACUUCGGGAAACCGGAGCUAAUACCGGAUGAUAUUUUGAACCGCAUGGUUCAAAAGUGAAAGACGGUCUUGCUGUCACUUAUAGAUGGAUCCGCGCUGCAUUAGCUAGUUGGUAAGGUAACGGCUUACCAAGGCAACGAUGCAUAGCCGACCUGAGAGGGUGAUCGGCCACACUGGAACUGAGACACGGUCCAGACUGCUACGGGAGGCAGCAGUAGGGAAUCUUCCGCAAUGGGCGAAAGCCUGACGGAGCAACGCCGCGUGAGUGAUGAAGGUCUUCGGAUCGUAAAACUCUGUUAUUAGGGAAGAACAUAUGUGUAAGUAACUGUGCACAUCUUGACGGUACCUAAUCAGAAAGCCACGGCUAACUACGUG
rnacentral:rRNA from 1 species